rnacentral:rRNA from 1 species
AUUGAACGCUGGCGGCAUGCCUUACACAUGCAAGUCGGACGGUAACAGGUCUUCGGAUGCUGACGAGUGGCGAACGGGUGAGUAAUACAUCGGAACGUGCCUAGUAGUGGGGGAUAACUACUCGAAAGAGUGGCUAAUACCGCAUGAGAUCUACGGAUGAAAGCAGGGGAUCGCAAGACCUUGUGCUACUAGAGCGGCCGAUGGCAGAUUAGGUAGUUGGUGGGAUAAAAGCUUACCAAGCCGACGAUCUGUAGCUGGUCUGAGAGGACGAUCAGCCACACUGGGACUGAGACACGGCCCAGACUCCUACGGGAGGCAGCAGUGGGGAAUUUUGGACAAUGGGCGCAAGCCUGAUCCAGCAAUGCCGCGUGCAGGAUGAAGGCCUUCGGGUCGUAAACUGCUUUUGUACGGAACGAAAAGCCCUGGGUUAAUACCCUGGGGUCAUGACGGUACCGUAAGAAUAAGCACCGGCUAACUACGUGCCAGCCGCCGCAGUAA